GUCCGCCUAGCUCAAUCGGAUAGAGCGUCAGACUCUGGUUACGGCGGUCUGAAGGCUGCGAGUUCGACCCUCGGCUUGGGCU